GUUCUGUGAGGGGCUCACAUCACCCCAUCAAAGUGGGGACUCAUGGGGAGAGGGGGUAGUUAGGAGCUUUGAUAGAGGCGG
ensembl:miRNA MIR4284 microRNA 4284